rnacentral:misc_RNA from 1 species
CAGGUACUUUAACGGGCAAUGUUCGGUGGAUUUGGCAUCCUGUGUACCGGCGGUACACAGGAUGCCACUUCCUGCAGUCACCAUUGUUCCCUUCAGUGUUGCUCAUAAUAUUAAGUUAGUUCCUCCAUUCCAAGAAAAGGCUGUAGAUAAAUAUUGUAGAUAUUUUGAGAAGGUGGCCAUGAGUUUGUGAAGGCCAAAGGAACAGUGGGCAAUACUCCUCCAGUCUGUGUUCGUAGGAAAAGCUAUUUGUCUACUGUAUGUCAGUAGAUGACUGUAGUGACCAUGAGAAGGUGAAGUGUACUGUGCUGAAAGCGUAUGAGUUUGUGCCUGGAGCUUUUAGGCUUAAAUUUCGUAAUUCACGCAAGCAUGACAGACAGAGUUACUUAGAAUUUGCAAGGGAGAAGGCUGAUAUAUUUUCUCGUUGGUGUGAAAGCGAGAAAGUAUGUAACUAUUAUGAGAAACUGUGUCAACUGUUACUGGUAGAAGAGUUUAAGAGGUGUAUACCUGAUUGAGUUAAAGUGUAUCUUCAGGAAAACAGAGUGAAUACACUAGAGGAAGCAGCCCGUAUGGCAGAGGAUUAUUCUCUCCUACACAAACUUCCUGGUAACUUUGUAAAGAGUAACGCCUCGCCACAAUCCUCUCCGCCAACAGGAGAUAAGGUGUUCUACAACCAUUGUUUUGAGCCUCCAAGAACUAAGAGACAGCAGUGAGCAGAUCGAGGCAGCUGAACCAGGUGUGUUUCCUGCCUGUGCUGUUACCAGAGCAGUGAGGAAGAAGGCAGAGUGUGUCUGUCAUGAGGACCCGAAGCCUGUUACGGACAUGGCAGCCCCAGUGAGUCAAGAACAAUCUAAAAAUCUUCAGGCAGGAGGUAUUAAAAAGUUUGAUAUAGAAUAUGCUCGUGGACCCGACCGGUACUCGACCAUUGACCCGUGUUUGGCCGCUGAACGACCACCGCUCCACCUCCAUUACUCGAUCUCCCGACUGGAUGUUCCGGACCUCGAGUCGUGGAUCAUGGAUACAUUGGAUGGCCCACAGCUCGGGCUCAUGGUUAGGCUCUCCGGAGCUCUGUAUCCGUGUUGCUCAGAUGUCAAACGGAGUUGUAAUGAAGCGGUGCACCAGGGCAGAGCGCUCCAGGACGGACAAGGGUGUGGAGGUCGGUGGAGCCGGUUGUGGUUGUGUUACUCUGGCUUAGAAUGUAAUGUAAGUUUAUAAUACAGUAGAACGUCGAUAUAACGUGAGAUACGUUCCAAGAGAGGUCGCUUUAAACCAAAUUCGCACUAAAUCGAAGUGUUGUUUCAAUGGAGUAAUUUAGUUUGGUACUUGAGAGAAACACAAAAUACUAAAAAGACUUGACAGUCUACCCAGAUGCACCUCAGCCCAUCUCCUAGAACGGGGGUUCCCAAACCUGGGAUCGGAAGGCUCAUUAGGUAGGGUUGCAAAGAGGUCAUGGGGCCGGUGGGGUCCUUUGGGUCUGCCAGUGAAAUGAUUUGGGAUCGCACUGGAUAGUUGACAACACUGGAUGGAGUCGUGCUAGAAAAAGCUUGGGAACCCCUGUCCUAGAAUAAACAAAACAUUGUUUUUGUAGUAUUAUGUUGAAACAAACUUUCAUAAAUCAACACAGCUAAAAUAAAGGGAUGGGAAAUGGUCUGUUACUGGUUGGUAAGAUGGAGGGGGGAGGUGGUGGUGAUAUGUUUGACAGAUGAUGCCAAGGUCUAGUGCUUAUUUAUUUAUCUGUCCUAAGAGCAACUUU